rnacentral:tmRNA from 1 species
GGGAGCGACUUGGCUUCGACAGGAGUAAGUCUGCUUAGAUGGCAUGUCGCUUUGGGCAAAGCGUAAAAAGCCCAAAUAAAAUUAAACGCAAACAACGUUAAAUUCGCUCCUGCUUACGCUAAAGCUGCGUAAGUUCAGUUGAGCCUGAAAUUUAAGUCAUACUAUCUAGCUUAAUUUUCGGUCAUUUUUGAUAGUGUAGCCUUGCGUUUGACAAGCGUUGAGGUGAAAUAAAGUCUUAGCCUUGCUUUUGAGUUUUGGAAGAUGAGCGAAGUAGGGCGAAGUAGUCAUCUUUGCUAAGCAUGUAGAGGUCUUUGUGGGAUUAUUUUUGGACAGGGGUUCGAUUCCCCUCGCUUCCACCA